GUGAUAAGGUGCCUACCACCAUGAUUGCCAGGACGGAAGCCAGAAAAGGUCCAUGAAGAAAAAACCAAGUAUAAGCUCUCACUCUGUCACCCAGCCUGGAGUGCAGUGGCACGGUCUUGGCUCACUGCAGCCUCCACCUCCCGGGAUCAAGUGAUUCUCCUGCCUCAGCCUCCCGAGUAGCUGGGAUUACAGAAAGACAACUUUGGACUUUCAUCCACUGGUCUUUAGUUCCAAUAAGACAGAAGACACAUGCUUGAAAUGUCCAAAACAUUCAAGAACAAAAGUCUUAUGUUCAUCUUUCUGAGGAAUAUGCAAACACCAGAUCACUAAAUUUCACCGUGACGUUAUGCAACCUACUAACCAUCCUGUGCAUCUUUUUAAUCAAACACAAUUGUAAACGUUCACCUUUAAAGGUAUGUUUUGUGCCAAUUUCAAAGAAAGAAAACAUUUGUCCAAUUCAAACUUAGAGAUAAUACCGUAUCUCCAACAAUAUUUUAAGCAUUAAUUCAAGCAAUUCUGUCUACAUGUCUGAACCAUCUUGGAUAAAAAAUACCAUUAAUUUAUUUACUCCAGUUUUCUGGAUACUUCAUUAGAUAACCAAAAACAUGCUAUGAAAAGGCAAAAGUCCAAAUAACAAAAAUCUAGUAUGGGGGGGUCUUGAAA